GGAAUCUUGCGCAAUGGGCGAAAGCCUGACGCAGCGACGCCGCGUGAGCGAUGAAGGCCCUCGGGUUGUAAAGCUCUGUGGGGAGGGAAGAAUAAGGGCCGGCCAACACCCUGUCUGAUGACGGUACCUCCUUAGCAAGCACCGACCAACUCCGCUCCAGCAGCCGCGGUAAGACAGAGGGUGCGAACGUUGUUCGGAAUUACUGGGCGUAAAGCGCGUGUAGGCGGCUAUGUAAGUCGGAUGUGAAAUCCCGCGGCUCAACCGUGGAAGUGCACUCGAAACUGCGUAGCUGGAGUCCCGGAGAGGAAGGUGGAAUGCUUGGUGUAGAGGUGAAAUUCGUAGAUAUCAAGCGGAACACCGGUGGCGAAGGCGGCCUUCUGGACGGUGACUGACGCUGAGACGCGAAAGCGUGGGGAGCA
rnacentral:rRNA from 1 species